GGAUUUCAGAGGAUCUGGCUGAUCACCAUUGCGCAUAAAAAGUGAAACUAAAAGCAAACAAAGAAUAAAAGAAAACAGAGUCACUCGAUGCAAAGAAAGGUAAUGAUGAAGCAAGGACAGAAAAAUUGACUUGAGGAAAGUUAAGCAAAGAAGUGCAGUAAAAGUAAUAAAAGUUGUUUAGGCAAGCAGGGGCAGGUACAGCUUACACGAUUCACAGAUGAAAAACCCUGACAGCAUCUCAUUAGAAACUCAGAUUUAAAUCAGCAUCACCAUUAAGGCCAGUCCAGGCACUUAUUUUUGAAAGUUUUCUUGAAAGUGGAGUGCAGUCAAGUGACAUUUGAUUGGGAAAAAAAAUGACAUUCAUGAAGUUCACAUCCAGACCCAUUAUAUUCUCAAGAGAGGUUGAGACAAGAAAGCUACUAUUGAAUCAACCAAGUACAGAAUCUCCACUGCUCAUGAAACAGCGACUCAAAAGUGACACUACUUCCUCCCAUCCUAACGUCUCAAGGGGAUACCAGUACUCCCCCCUAAGAUUUGACAAAUUGAUAGUAGCACCUCCACUGGCCAUGCAUCUGAACUUCAAGAGCCAUUUCACUCCUUUGCCCUCUACCUUGCCUCUAAGUGGAGUCAAACCCUGGAUGACACAGCAAGUUAUUUCCCUUUAGAUUAUCAUAAAUAUCUAGUGAAACUAAACAUUGUGUAUAUGCAUGAGACGUUAGCCAAGAAAGCUUGAGCAAUUUGAGCAAGGAAUUUUAGGUUAAGGAGAAUCUUGAAAAUGACUCUGUAUUUAAUAGGGUAGCUAGUAAAGCUAUUGCAGGGUAGAAGUUAUAUAAGCUGCCAAGGUUUAGUGAGAGUGAGCAUCUUGACAGAAGAGUUUUAAAUAUAUUGCCUAGUUGGAGAAUAGUCAGGGUUAAAGGGAUUUAGAUGUGAUAUUUGUGAGAUGGUUUCAAGCAAAAAAAACAACAGACUUGGUAACAAAUUUAAUGUGUGGCUCAGAAUACAGGGUUGGAUACAAUAUGACACCAAGCUUUCUAACUUCUGAGGAUGGGUAGACACCACAGACAUCAAUAAAUAGUAUAAAUUUGUAUAUUUUUGGAUUUUUAAAACAUGAAUGGUCGUAAGUAUUUGAGUAUUGAGUACUGAGUUUUAGGAGAUCCAUUCUUUAAUUUCAUGAGGGCUGGAAGUGAGGGCUGAAAAAGGUAAGAACGCUAAUGAUGAUGAAGUAUUAAGGUAAUGUUCAGUGUCAUCAGCAUAAGUGAAAGUGAAGGGGACAAAUGAGAUGCUAACAUUAUAGUAAAAUAGGCUAAUCCAAGAUCUACCAUUAUAGUUAAAAAUUCUAAUCCAGGAACUAGCAUUACAUUUUAAAGUCUUAUUAAAAAUCAACACUCUGCAAUCCACACAAUCAACAUUUUAUAUACAUAAACUACAAUACACACAAUAUGCUAAUAUACUAAACAAACAAGAUAUACAAACGCACUUACACUGGAUAAAAAAAAUGUUUUGUGGAAACACAAUAUAUUCAAAUGAAUCAAUGUCAUGUCAUCUCUUAGCUGUUUGCUUUAGUUCAAUGCUUUAAAAUAUUCAAGAAUUUUCUGAAAUGCCAUUUAAGGGGUCAUUAACUGAAGAGAUCAAGCAGGAUGACCUAGAAUCAGGCACUAGGUGGUUAUGAAAUACAUGUACAAGCACACAUCUGAUUGCAGACUCAUUCAGAUGUACUGUACAUGCCUGCUGUAAGAGACUGGGCUGAAAUAAUACAUACAAGCAAGAGUUCAGAGUGCUUCAUAGCUAAUACGUAUUCUCAAAGGAUACUGUUGUCACUGUAGACCUUUUGAAAAGAAUUUCAUUUUCAAAAUAAGGUUAAAUAGUGGAUGAAGUAGUCUUGUUUUUUGUCAUUUAAUAAAUUACUCACUGAUUGAUGACAGCUGAAGUAGCACUUAUUUUCUCUACCAAUUUUGUGAGUAGAGUGUGUAUAUCUCCAAGGAACAUACAUAAUUUAAAAUAAUAAUAAUAAUAAUAAUAAUAAUAAUAAUAAUAAUAAUAAGUAUCAAGAAUUUUUCCUUCAAAUGAAAUGUGAAUGUGGAAUGUGAACUAAAAGUUGCUAAAGUGCAUUUACCCCCAAACCCCCCAAUGUUAUGUCUAUGAUGCUUUCAGGUUGCCUGGAAUAAUAUCUUUGCCCUCAGAACCCUGGAAUUCGAAGCAGCCUCAAGCAUGUUUCUUCUGAAACUGUGAUUUCAGCCUAAUAGGAGUAGAGUGAUUUUACACAAAAACCAACACUCAUCAACUGCGCCAUCAUACAUAGGUGUUGAGGCUGAUCUGUCAGUUCAGGAAGAGGAAACAAUAACUUCAUUAGAAAGAAAUUCCCUUUUCUCUUUUUUUCUUUCUUUCUCAGCAAUAGCUAAAACAGUUUUCAUUUUAAUGUUGGAUUUGGUAUUAUAUCAUUUAAUCAAUUUAGAAUCCACAAAACAAAGAUAAAUCUGCUAAACUAUUUUCUCUGAACGCCUGUUUCCCAAAGCAUUAAUAUUUCAUCCAUCAUUAAUCAAAGCAGUGUAUACUGUAUACUUCAAUUAUCUUUAAUCUUUAAUAUAUAAAAUUAUAUUAAUUAUAUAUUAAAAAGAACACUUGCACUAUUAAAAAGAAAACUUGCAAUACUUUUUUACUUUUUCAGUAGCAUAUGAUCUGCUGUUGGACGAUGCACUUUCAAAGGACACUUUCUCUUUGUAUAAUGUAACCAGAUAUUUAUGUGCAAUUAUGAUUAUUAUUAUUAUUUUUCUCACCAGAAAUGUUAACUUUGUACUUAGGUUAUGAUCUUGAACAGGUAUGAAAUAUCUGCCCUAUAAAGAACGAGAGGACUGUUUAUUUUAAUCUUAUCUUUAAGCAGAUCAUUUUGUUUUGAAUCAAACUAUAUAUGCAUUAAUGAUUAUGGGCCAUGUUACAUUUGACAGCGAAGAAAAUUCACUGUUUCCUUAUUCAGUACACAUUUUCUAGCCCUGUUUUUUUUUUUUUUUUUUUUUUUUUUUACAGGAUUAAAUUGUUUGUGUUUAAAGAGACUCUUCAACAAGUUUAAUAAAGAAAACCUGCAUAACAUGA